CAUCUAUAAGGAGGGGAAAAGCACUGAGGGCCGGGGACCAAGCUCCUUGCAGAAGAGGCAGCUGCAGUCACCCUUCUGCUCAGCCCCUCCCCUCCAGAGGCACUUUGAGUAAAUGCUCGCCCUCCGAUCUGCCCUGUUACAACGGGAGAAAGUUGAUCUUUACACAGACGAGGGCUGUCUUGCUCACAGUUGAUUCGGCACUGGAGGACAGUGCAGGUACCAACAGUUCACACGUGGAGGGCUCUUGUUGCAUCCGAAAUGCCCGCUCUCGCCUCUGGAAGCACCAAGUCCUUCAGAAAGACCCCCCAGAGCCCUCGUCCGUGCCAUCUGACGAGUGCCCAUCACACGCAUCAUUAAACAUUUAUUCUGCGUGUCUCAGGAAGAAAGAAGCUAGGAAACUGUGUGUCAACCAUCUGGCUGACACCGUCAGGGUCUGGGGCCAGAGCCUCGCAGAAAGGAAGGAGAGGCUGUCUCCCUGCAUCUUAUUCACUGAGAACCCUCCAUGAACACAGCAUCGAGAAUCACACAUCUGCCGCCCACUCAGCCCUGGCCACCGUCGUCCCACUAAACAAGUCUCUGCUCCUGCACCAGUUCCUACACCCAGCCAUCUCUAGGGUGGAGGGCUCAGGCGGCCAUGGCAGCUCAAGAGUUUUCUUCCUAAGGAAGCUGCAGAUGAAUGGGCAGCGAGGAACCUGGACUGAGACUGCUUCAGCAGCUGGCUUCGUUCUAGGUCUCCCAUGCUCACAGAGCUAAGAGCCCUGGGGAGGAUGCAAGCCUCCGGUCUUGUAAACUGAGACCCUGGCCUCAGGCAGACUUCUUCCUGAUUCUCGGAGCAAUGUCCAACUUCGGUCUCACUCCAACCCAGCGUAAACAUCACAACCUGUCACCUCCCUUGAUUUCCCUCCCUGGCAAACUUCAUCCAGUAGCGGUGUGGUGUGGGUUGCAAACCUCAGUGCUGCAGAGGUCUUAAAAGAUGGCUCUGCGGAUCUGGAAACUGAGGCCCAUGGAGGGAAAGAAAUCCCUUCAGGGCCGUUUGCCAGCGGAUGGUAAUUAGCAACAAAAGCUAAUAAAUACUCAGAUUCAAAUU
rnacentral:sRNA from 1 species